rnacentral:rRNA from 1 species
AGAGCGAACGCUGGCGGCAGGCUUAACACAUGCAAGUCGAGCGGGCGUAGCAAUACGUCAGCGGCAGACGGGUGAGUAACGCGUGGGAACGUACCUUUUGGUUCGGAACAACACAGGGAAACUUGUGCUAAUACCGGAUAAGCCCUUACGGGGAAAGAUUUAUCGCCAAAAGAUCGGCCCGCGUCUGAUUAGCUAGUUGGUGAGGUAACGGCUCACCAAGGCGACGAUCAGUAGCUGGUCUGAGAGGAUGAUCAGCCACAUUGGGACUGAGACACGGCCCAAACUCCUACGGGAGGCAGCAGUGGGAAUAUUGGACAAUGGGCGCAAGCCUGAUCCAGCCAUGCCGCGUGAGUGAUGAAGGCCCUAGGGUUGUAAAGCUCUUUUGUGCGGGAAGAUAAUGACGGUACCGCAAGAAUAAGCCCGGCUAACUUCGCGCCAGCAGCCGC